CCUACCAGUUCCUGUAUGAUCACUGAAGUUAAGCAACAUUGAAUCUGAUCAGUACUUAGAUGGGUGACCACUUUGGAAUACCAGGUGCUGUAAG